UACAGAGGGUGCGAGCGUUGUUCGGAAUUAUUGGGCGUAAAGGGCGCGUAGGCGGUGCCACAAGUCACUUGUGAAAUCUCCGGGCUUAACUCGGAGCCUGCAGGCGAAACUGUGGUGCUGGAGUGUGGGAGAGGUGCGUGGAAUUCCCGGUGGUAGCGGUGAAAUGACGUAGAUAUCGGGAGGAACACCUGUGGCGAAAGCGGCGCACUGGACCAUAACUGACGCUGAGGCGCGAAAGCUAGGGGAGCAAACAGG
rnacentral:rRNA from 1 species